rnacentral:lncRNA from 1 species
CUUUUCAAGUGCAGAAGACAGAUCCUGAUAUUUAGAGUAGUUUUUCAAGUCCACUUUCCUCAGAUAAGGAGCACCAUCCAUGCUGACCUUAACAAAAAGUGCAUCAGGCCCUGUCUUUCCAUCUACUUCAUCAGUGUUCUUGGAAGAGGUGGCCAAUGAGUUCUUUCUAAACGAUCUAAUAGGAGGCCAACCUACAACCUGUGCCCUACAAAUGGAAGAGGAUCAUAGAAUCUUCUCAUGGUUAACAUAAAAUAAAACUUAAAGCAAAAAGAAAACCAUGUACACUUACUUGGAAGCAGGUGCUCCACUGUUAUUGUUUGCAGAUGCAUUAUGAUUGGGCCUCGUCUCAUUAGCAGCAUGAGACGAGUCCUUUACCACCUUCUGGUUCGUGACCUCUUUGGCCUUUGUUGGUUGAACCCCAAGGUUCUCAAGCAUAGAACCAGAUUUC